UACCUGGUUGAUCCUGCCAGUAGUCAUAUGCUUGUUUCAAAGAUUAAGCCAUGCAUGUUUAAGUAUAAGCUUUUAUACGGCGAAACUGCGAAUAGCUCAGUAAAACAGUUAUAAUUUUUUUGAUGGUCUAUUUCCAUACGGAUACCCAUGGUAAUUCUGGAGCUAAUACGUGCAUAAACACCCGACUUCUUGAAGGGUGGUAUUUAUUAGAGCAAGAACCAAUCCGUCUAACGGCGGCUUCGGUGAGUCAUAAUAAAUGAGCGGAUCGCUUCACGGCGAUAGUUCAUUCAAGUUUCUGACCUAUCAGCUUCUGACGGUAGGGUAUUGGCCUACCGUGGCGUUGACGGGUAACGGGGAAUUGGGGUUCGAUUCCGGAGAGGGAGCCUGACAGCGGGGGAGAGCUGUGGAACCGUAUCUAGAGAGGUGAAAUUCAGAAACGGUGUUGUGGCGGGGCGCGGCGAAGGCGUUCCGCCCAACACCUGUGUUCCGCUGAAGAUCGAAAGUUUAAGGAUCAAAGGCGAUUAGAUACCGCCGUAGUUGUCACCGUAAACCAUGCCGACCGGUUAUUCGSAUAAGUUUACGGUUUCAGAACGCUGUGAGCGACCAGACGGGAAGCCAGAGUCCUAAGGCUCCUGGGGGAGUAUGGUCGCAAGGCUGAAACUUAAAGGAAUUGACGGAAUGACACCACCAGGAGUGGAGCCUGCGGCUUAAUUUGACUCAACGCGGGGAAACUUACCCGGCCUGGACACUGCUAACGACUGACAGGCUGAGAGACCUUUCUCGAUGCGGUGGGUGGUGGUGGUGCAUGGCCGUUCCUGGUUGGUGGAGUGAUCUGUCUGGUCAAUUCCGAUAACGAACGAGACUCUAGCCUGCUAACUAGACGAGGGACGUUCCGGUACGAUCCGGCGUUUGACUCGCACUUCUUAGAGGGACAAACGGCCCCGNNCCGUAUGAAAUAGGGCAAUAACAGGUCUGUGAUGCCCUUAGAUGUUCGGGGCCGCACGCGUGCGACAAUGGUGGAAAGAGCGCGUGUCCGUUCAACCUGGUCCAAGCGGACACGGUAAACCGCUCAAUCUCUUCCGUACUCGGGACUGAGGCGUGGAAUUUCUCUCACGAACGAGGAAUUCCUAGUAGGUGCGGGUCACGCAUCUUGCGCCGACUACGUCCCUGUCCUUUGUACACACCGCCCGUCGCUACUACCGAUUGAAUGAUUUAGUGAGACUAUCGGACCGGAACACGCGCCCCGCUCGUCGGGCGCGCGUGCCAAGGGAAGAUGACCAAACUGUACCAUUUAGAGGAAGAAAAGUCGUAACAAGGUUUCCGUAGGUGAACCUGCGGAAGGAUC
rnacentral:rRNA from 1 species